UACGGUAUCAGAUAGUUGGUGGGGUAAAGGCCUACCAAGUCUACGACGCUUAACUGGUCUGAGAGGAUGAUCAGUCACACUGGAACUGAGACACGGUCCAGACUCCUACGGGAGGCAGCAGUAGGGAAUCUUCCACAAUGGACGAAAGUCUGAUGCAGCAACGCCGCGUGGAGGAUGAAGGUCUUCGGGUCGUAAACUCCUUUUAUAAGUGAAGAAUAUGACGGUAGCUUAUGAAUAAGCACCGGCUAACUACGUGCC
rnacentral:rRNA from 1 species